CCGAUGGCGACCGGCGCACGGGUGAGUAACACGUAUCCAACCUGCCGUCUACUCUUGGACAGCCUUCUGAAAGGAAGAUUAAUACCCGAUGGCAUAAUGAUUCCGCAUGGUUUCAUUAUUAAAGGAUUCCGGUAAAGGAUGGGGAUGCGUUCCAUUAGGUUGUUGGUGAGGUAACGGCCCACCAAGCCUUCGAUGGAUAGGGGUUCUGAGAGGAAGGUCCCCCACAUUGGAACUGAGACACGGUCCAA
rnacentral:rRNA from 1 species